rnacentral:rRNA from 1 species
AUUGAACGCUGGCGGCAGGCCUAACACAUGCAAGUCGAACGAGUGGCGGACGGGUGAGUAAUGUCUGGGAAACUGCCUGAUGGAGGGGGAUAACUACUGGAAACGGUAGCUAAUACCGCAUACCAUCAGAUGUGCCCAGAUGGGAUUAGCUAGUUGGUGGGGUAACGGCUCACCAAGGCGACGAUCCCUAGCUGGUCUGAGAGGAUGACCGGCCACAUUUGAAAGUGAACACGGUCCAGACUCAUAGGGGAGGCGGCAGUGGGGAAUAUUGCACAAUGGGCGCAAGCCUGAUGCAGCCAUGCCGCGUGUAUGAAGAAAGACUUCGGGUUGUAAAGUACUGUCAGCGGGGAGGCGUUACCCGCAGAAGAAGCACCGGCUAACUCCGUGCCAGCAGCCGCGGUAAUAC